CCAGUGAGCAGCUCUGUCGCCACCAGCGACUGGCCAGCCUGCUGCACGGCCCACAGCAACAUUAGUUUCUCUUCCCUCCUCCACGACAGCAACCAGCAGCCACCACAGCAAGGCAGGUCUUCUUCCUCUCCACGAACAACCACAAGCAGCAGCGGGCUACGAAGCCUGUUCCCAGCAGCGAGUAGGGUUGCGUGUUGCUCUCACAAUAGCUGACUGCCCCCUAGUGCCGCCAACUCCCCACCUUGGUCCUCCACCACCACAACAACCGCCUGAAAUCUUACCCUUUACUAGUUCCCCCAUUGUGUCCAUUUCGUAAAAGGAAUGUAGAGCCUUAGUUCGGUGAUUUUGUGACUUUUGAUCGUGUAGUGACGCUUACAGCAGGAGGAUCAUAGACAGACAUGGCAGGUAUUGGAGCUUCUUUUGCAUUGCAUUGCAUUGGGGGAGAGUGAUGAGGGCGAAGCAUAACCUGUGUCAUACUGCUAUCUUUUGACUUUGUAGUUCUUAUUUAUCUUUAGUAAACUUUGGUUGUAUACGUUUUGUCAUGAGGCCUUGUGUCCUCCUUUGUAUAUUUUUAUUUCCGCUGCGUAGUUUAUGGUUUUAAAUAAGUCAUCUUAAAACGCAAGCAUCGACACUGGAACCACGAUCCAUGCUUGGCAUGUUGAUUUGAGAAGCCGGCGACGAAUCAUUCCGCCGUGGUGUGAGAUUUUAAAGGCAAUGAUGCCUUAGAUUAGUUUAAUGUUUUUUU